UAUUCGGAAUCAUCCGAGAGGCCGGUACAGAUCAAUAUAGGAUCUCGUAAGAAGUGUGUGCUUGGGCGUGCGAUCCGGGUCUCAAGCAGACUUGGAUCACGUCCCCAUACAUCUUGCAGAUCUAUGAUCUCGUGAACUCCAGCUCCAAUAGCGUAUAUUAAAGUUGUUGACGUUAAAAAGCUCGUAGUCGAACUUCGGCCUCUGGUGACUGGUCCGCCUUUUGGUGUGUACUGGGCUACCGGAGGCUUACCUCCUGGUGAUCUCGGAUGCUCUUCACUGGGUGUUCGGGGGAACCAGGGAUUUUACUUUGAAGAAAUUAGAGUGUUCAAAGCAGGUAUUUGCCUGAAUACAUUAGCAUGGAAUAAUAGAAUAGGACGUGCGGUCCUAUUUUGUUGGUUUCUAGGAUCGCCGUAAUGAUUAAUAGGGAUAGUCGGGGGCAUUUGUAUUACAUUGUCAGAGGUGAAAUUCUUGGAUUUAUUGAAGACUAACUACUGCGAAAGCAUUUGCCAAGGAUGUUUUCAUUAAUCAGUGAACGAAAGUUAGGGGAUCGAAGACGAUCAGAUACCGUCGUAGUCUUAACCAUAAACUAUGCCGACUAGGGAUCGGUGGGUGUUAUUAUUUUGACCUCAUCGGCACCUUACGAGAAAUCAAAGUUUUUGGGUUCUGGGGGGAGUAUGGUCGCAAGGCUGAAACUUAAAGGAAUUGACGGAAGGGCACCACCAGNNNNNNNNNNNNNNNNUUAAUUUGACUCAACACGGGGAAACUCACCAGGUCCAGACACAAUAAGGAUUGACAGAUUGAGAGCUCUUUCUUGAUUUUGUGGGUGGUGGUGCAUGGCCGUUCUUAGUUGGUGGAGUGAUUUGUCUGCUUAAUUGCGAUAACGAACGAGACCUUAACCUGCUAAAUAGCCAGGCCCGCUUUGGCGGGUCGCCGGCUUCUUAGAGGGACUAUCGGCUCAAGCCGAUGGAAGUUUGAGGCAAUAACAGGUCUGUGAUGCCCUUAGAUGUUCUGGGCCGCACGCGCGCUACACUGACAGAGCCAACGAGUUCAUCACCUUGGCCGGAAGGUCUGGGUAAUCUUGUUAAACUCUGUCGUGCUGGGGAUAGAGCAUUG
rnacentral:rRNA from 1 species